AACGCGAAGAACCUUACCUACUCUUGACAUCCAGAGAACAUUCCAGAGAUGGAUUGGUGCCUUCGGGAACUCUGAGACAGGUGCUGCAUGGCUGUCGUCAGCUCGUGUUGUGAAAUGUUGGGUUAAGUCCCGCAACGAGCGCAACCCUUAUCCUUUGUUGCCAGCGAUUCGGUCGGGAACUCAAAGGAGACUGCCGGUGAUAAACCGGAGGAAGGUGGGGAUGACGUCAAGUCAUCAUGGCCCUUACGAGUAGGGCUACACACGUGCUACAAUGGCGUAUACAGAGGGAAGCGAUAGUGCGAGCUGGAGCGAAUCUCACAAAGUACGUCUAAGUCCGGAUUGGAGUCUGCAACUCGACUCCAUGAAGUCGGAAUCGCUAGUAUCGCAAAUCAGAAGC
rnacentral:rRNA from 1 species